GUACCUGUUUAGAAAGCCACGGCUAACUACGUGCCAGCAGCCGCGGUAAUACGUAGGUGGCGAGCGUUGUCCGGAAUUACUGGGUGUAAAGGGAGUGUAGGCGGGAAGGCAAGUCAGAGGUGAAAAUUAUGGGCUUAACCCAUAACCUGCUUUUGAAACUGUUUUUCUUGAGUGAGGCAGAGGCAAGCGGAAUUCCUAGUGUAGCGGUGAAAUGCGUAGAUAUUAGGAGGAACACCAGUGGCGAAGGCGGCUUGCUGGGCCUUUACUGACGCUGAGGCUCGAAAGCGUGGGGAGCAAACAGGAUUAGAUACCCUGGUAGUCCACGCCGUAAACGAUGAUCACUAGGUGUGGGGAGUUGAACCUUUCCGUGCCGGAGUUAACACCAUAAGUGAUCCACCUGGGGA
rnacentral:rRNA from 1 species